UACGGAGGGAGCUAGCGUUGUUCGGAAUUACUGGGCGUAAAGCGCACGUAGGCGGCUACUCAAGUCAGAGGUGAAAGCCCAGGGCUCAACCUUGGAACUGCCUCUGAAACUAGGUAGCUAGAAUUCUGGAGAGGUCAGUGGAAUUCCGAGUGUAGAGGUGAAAUUCGUAGAUAUUCGGAAGAACACCAGUGGCGAAGGCGACUGACUGGACAGAUAUUGACGCUGAGGUGCGAAAGCGUGGGGAGCAAACAGG
rnacentral:rRNA from 1 species